CUCAGGGAGGUAGUGACAAGAAAUAACAACACUGGAAAUUUUAUUUCUAGUGAUUGGAAUGAUGGGAAUUUAAACCCCUUUCAGAGUAACAAUUGGAGGGCAAGUCUGGUGCCAGCAGCCGCGGUAAUUCCAACUCCAAUAGCGUAUAUUAAGGUUGUUGCAGUUAAAAAGCUCGUAGUUGGAUGUCUGCUGGAAGCAAUCAGUCCGCCCUAUUUGUAGGGUGUGCACUUGAUGAAUUCUGGCAUUUUUGUCCCAAUGACGUAACGGAGCGGUGCUAUUGGGCGAAAGUUCAAUAGCCUGUUUUCCGAUUAUUGGGAUACUGUUACUUUGAGAAAAUUAGAGUGUUUGAAGCAGGCUAAUUGCCUUGAAUACUGCAGCAUGGAAUAACAAUAUAGGAUUUCGGUUCUAUUUUGUUGGUUUCUAGGACUGAAAUAAUGAUUAAUAGGGACAGUUGGGGGCAUUCGUAUUUAACUGUCAGAGGUGAAAUUCUUAGAUUUGUUAAAGACGAACUACUGCGAAAGCAUUUGCCAAAGAUGUUUUCAUUAAUCAAGAACGAAAGUUAGGGGCUCGAAGACGAUCAGAUACCGUCGUAGUCUUAACCAUAAACUAUGCCGACUAGAGAUAGGAAAAUGUCAUUUUGCUGACUU
rnacentral:rRNA from 1 species